UGCCAGCCGCCGCGGUAAUACGGAGGGUGCAAGCGUUAAUCGGAAUUAUUGGGCUUAAAGGGUGCGUAGGCGGCGCUGUAAGUCGGGUGUGAAAUCCCACGGCUCAACCGUGGAAUUGCGCCCGAUACUGCAGUGCUCGAGGGAGACAGGGGUGAGCGGAACUGAUGGUGGAGCGGUGAAAUGCGUUGAUAUCAUCAGGAACACCGGUGGCGAAAGCGGCUCACUGGGUCUCUUCUGACGCUGAGGCACGAAAGCUAGGGUAGCGAACGGGAUUAGAUA
rnacentral:rRNA from 1 species